AUUGAACGCUGGCGGCAUGCCUUACACAUGCAAGUCGAACGGCAGCACAGCAGGGCUUGCUCUGUGGGUGGCGAGUGGCGGACGGGUGAGGAAUACAUGGGAAUCUGCCCAGUCGUGGGGGAUAACGUAUGGAAACGUACGCUAAUACCGCAUGCGCCCUACGGGGGAAAGCCGGGGACCGCAAGGCCUGGCGCGAUUGGAUGAGCCCAUGUUCGAUUAGCUAGUUGGCGGGGUAAAGGCCCACCAAGGCGACGAUCGAUAGCUGGUCUGAGAGGAUGAUCAGCCACACUGGAACUGAGACACGGUCCAGACUCCUACGGGAGGCAGCAGUAGGGAAUAUUGGACAAUGGGGGCAACCCUGAUCCAGCCAUGCCGCGUGAGUGAAGAAGGCCCUCGGGUUGUAAAGCUCUUUUGUCCGGAAAGAAAAGCAAUCGGUUAAUACCCGGUUGUUCUGACGGUACCGGAAGAAUAAGCACCGGCUAACUUCGUGCC
rnacentral:rRNA from 1 species